UACAGAGGUCUCAAGCGUUGUCCGGAAUUAUUGGGCGUAAAGCGCGCGCAGGUGGUUUCUUAAGUCUGAUGUGAAAGCCCACGGCUCAACCGUGGAGGGUCAUUGGAAACUGGGGAACUUGAGUGCAGAAGAGGAAAGUGGAAUUCCAAGUGUAGCGGUGAAAUGCGUAGAUAUCGGAAGGAACAUCAGUGGCGAAAGCGGCUUCCUGGACCAGCACCGACGUUCAGGCACGAAAGCGUGGGGAGCAAACAGG
rnacentral:rRNA from 1 species